rnacentral:tRNA from 1 species
UCCCGUGUGGCUCAGUUGGUAGAGCAUGGUGUUUGCAACGCCAGGGUUGUGGGUUCGAUUCCCCCGUGGGGC